UACGUAGGUUCCGAGCGUUGUCCGGAAUUAUUGGGCGUAAAGGGCUCGUAGGCGGUUCGUCGCGGCGGGAGGGAAAACUCGGAGCUCAACUCCGAGCCUGCUUCCGAUACGGGCAGACUAGAGGUAUGCAGGGGAGAACGGAAUUCCUGGUGUAGCGGUGAAAUGCGCAGAUAUCAGGAGGAACACCGGUGGCGAAGGCGGUUCUCUGGGCAUUACCUGACGCUGAGGAGCGAAAGUGUGGGGAGCGAACAGG
rnacentral:rRNA from 1 species